AGCGACGAAUGCAUUGGUUGUAAUAUGCGCUUACUAUUAUUUUUCUGUCCGUAAAUUACUUAUCUACUAUGCAUCUUGCUUCAAACGAAAAAUAAAUUGGGUCUUAUUUUGUUGCAUAAUGAAUCUGAUCGGUGGAUUGAGGUCAUUUUUUGAUUUUCUAAGCGGUUUUAAUAACAAUUGAGGAAAUUUCUAAAAAAACAUAAAGGAAA